rnacentral:rRNA from 1 species
GAUGAACGCUGGCGGCGUGCUUAACACAUGCAAGUCGAACGAUGAAGCUCAGCUUGCUGGGUGGAUUAGUGGCGAACGGGUGAGUAACACGUGAGUAACCUGCCCUUAACUCUGGGAUAAGCCUGGGAAACUAGGUCUAAUACCGGAUAGGAGCGCCUACCGCAUGGUGGGUGUUGGAAAGAUUUAUCGGUUUUGGAUGGACUCGCGGCCUAUCAGCUUGUUGUUGAGGUAAUGGCUCACCAAGGCGACGACGGGUAGCCGGCCUGAGAGGGUGACCGGCCACACUGGGACUGAGACACGGCCCAGACUCCUACGGGAGGCAGCAGUGGGGAAUAUUGCACAAUGGGCGAAAGCCUGAUGCAGCGACGCCGCGUGAGGGAUGACGGCCUUCGGGUUGUAAACCUCUUUCAGUAGGGAAGAAGCGAAAGUGACGGUACCUGCAGAAGAAGCACCGGCUAACUACGUG